GGUACAAGAUUGUGAGAGAAUUCAAAUGAUCCUGGUCAUCUUCCAUUAAAAUAUUUCAAACUGAAGAAUCAAAUGAUGGCAAAGUCUUUCAAAUCGAGUAUCCUUUUAUUAAACUGGAAUUCAAACCCAAAG